CCUUCGCAAGAAUGGAUUGCACCACCACUUGUAUACCUUCAUGACCUCUACUAGGACCUCUUUAGAAAUCCUUCUUCAAAAGAUCUCACCACACACAAAUCAAAUUUUAUGUUCACAUGAACAAUCUGAUUUUUGGACAAGCAUCUUAUGCUUUCCAUUUUCUCUCAUCCCUUUCUUUUCAUUUUUCUCUCCCUCUUUUUUUUUCCUUUUUUCCAAAUUUUUUUAUCAUUUAUCUCUCAUUUCCAUGCCUACUUUUAGCCAAAU
rnacentral:lncRNA from 1 species